rnacentral:siRNA from 1 species
UCAUGGUCAGAUCCGUCAUCCC